UACAGAGGUCUCGAGCGUUAGGCGGAAUCACUGGGCUUAAAGCGUGUGUAGGCGGGUCGUUAAGUGCCUUGUGAAAUCCCAUGGCUCAACCAUGGAACUGCUGGGCAUACUGGCGAUCUUGUGCCACCUAGGGGCGAGCGGAACAGAUGGUGGAGCGGUGAAAUGCGUAGAUAUCGUAAGGAAGACCAGUGGCGAAGGCGGGUCUCUGGACAGUUCCUGACGCUGAGGCACGAAGGUCAGGGGAGCAAACGGG
rnacentral:rRNA from 1 species